AUACUAAGGAGGUGGGGCCAGUUUGGGAGCAGACUUUUACUGAGAAGACCAUUUGAAGUGUAAUCAAAUUGGUUAAGCUACAGCACCAUCAACAGGUGCAUUCUGAUGUUAAUAGGGCUGUCAAAAUUUUAAUUU